rnacentral:snRNA from 1 species
CCAGCUCUCUUUGCCGUAAGGCUAAGAUCAAGUGUAGUAUCUGUUCUUUUCAGUUUAAUCUCUGAAAGUAUUCCACUGGAAUACAACAUUGAUUAAUCUCAUUUUUGGUCCCCGUGGGAAUUCCUCUGUGCUUGCACAUGUAUUCCCGCACUGUGUCACUGGUCUUACACUGUCACCAGUAGACGCGAACUCAU